GAGGGCAUAGCUCAGUCGUAGAGCGCAUGCUUAGCAUGCACGAGGUCCUGGGUUCAAUCCCCGGCACCCUCA
rnacentral:tRNA from 1 species